rnacentral:rRNA from 1 species
CUUGCUUUCUUUUGCUGGCGACCGGCGCACGGGUGAGUAACACGUAUCCAACCUGCCCUUUACUCGGGGAUAGCCUUUCGAAAGAAAGAUUAAUACCCGAUAGUAUAAUGAUUCCGCAUGGUUUCAUUAUUAAAGGAUUCCGGUAAAGGAUGGGGAUGCGUUCCAUUAGGUUGUUGGUGAGGUAACGGCUCACCAAGCCUUCGAUGGAUAGGGGUUCUGAGAGGAAGGUCCCCCACGUUGGAACUGAGACACGGUCCAA